GAUGAACGCUGGCGGCGUGCCUAAUACAUGCAAGUCGAGCGAACAGAUAAGGAGCUUGCUCCUUUGACGUUAGCGGCGGACGGGUGAGUAACACGUGGGUAACCUACCUAUAAGACUGUGAUAACUUCGGGAAACCGGAGCUAAUACCGGAUAACAUUUGGAACCGCAUGGUUCUAAAGUGAAAGAUGGUUUUGCUAUCACUUAUAGAUGGACCCGCGCCGUAUUAGCUAGUUGGUAAGGUAACGGCUUACCAAGGCAACGAUACGUAGCCGACCGGAGAGGGUGAGCGGCCACACGGGAACGGAGACACGCCCCAGACCCCGACGGGGGGAGGCAGGGGGGAAUCUUCGGCAAGGGGCGAAAGCCGGAGGGAGCAACGGCGCGGGAGGGAUGAGGGUUUUGGUCUCGAAAACCUCUGUUAUUAGGGAAGAACAAAUGUGUAAGUAACUGUGCACGUCUUGACGGUACUUAAUCAGAAAGCCACGACUAACUCCGUG
rnacentral:rRNA from 1 species